AUUGAACGCUGGCGGCAGGCUUAACACAUGCAAGUCGAACGGUAACAUAAAGAAGCUUGCUUCUUUGAUGACGAGUGGCGGACGGGUGAGUAAUGCUUGGGAAUCUAGCUUAUGGAGGGGGAUAACUACGGGAAACUGUAGCUAAUACCGCGUAAUAUCGAAAGAUUAAAGUGUGGGACCUUCGGGCCACAUGCCAUAGGAUGAGCCCAAGUGGGAUUAGGUAGUUGGUGAGGUAAAGGCUCACCAAGCCGACGAUCUCUAGCUGGUCUGAGAGGAUGACCAGCCACACUGGGACUGAGACACGGCCCAGACUCCUACGUGGAGGCAGCAGUGGGGAAUAUUGCGCAAUGGGGGCAACCCUGACGCAGCCAUGCCGCGUGAAUGAAGAAGGCCUUCGGGUUGUAAAGUUCUUUCGGUAGCGAGGAAGGCAUUUAGUUUAAUAGACUAGGUG
rnacentral:rRNA from 1 species